rnacentral:rRNA from 1 species
UACGAAGGGGGCUAGCGUUGUUCGGAAUUACUGGGCGUAAAGCGCGCGUAGGCGGCCCUGCAAGUCGGGGGUGAAAGCCCGAGGCUCAACCUCGGAACUGCCUUCGAUACUGCGGGUCUCGAGUCCGGGAGAGGUGAGUGGAAUUCCUAGUGUAGAGGUGAAAUUCGUAGAUAUUAGGAAGAACACCAGUGGCGAAGGCGGCUCACGGGCCCGGUACUGACGCUGAGGCACGAAGGUCAGGGGAGCAAACGGG